GAUAAAGUGCAGGAAUGGAAGAUGUCACGCGACUCACCUAAUAAGGGAUGUUUGGACCGUUACACAGCCAACAGAAGCAUGUGGACAGACAUUGACUGUGAUGAUGGACAUCUGCUGAUGCACAGAAUCAAGAAGCAUUUAUAGUAAAGCUUGACUGUCACUGAUGAGGAGGAUGUGAGUCUCCAUCUGGAGAUCACGAUGAUCAUGAUGUUAUAGAUGGAGGAGUGAGAUUCUGGCUUCAUCAAACCUACAAA
rnacentral:lncRNA from 1 species